rnacentral:tRNA from 1 species
GACAAAUUAUAGGACCUGGAUGAGGCUUUGUAAUAACCUUU